UACUCAGUAUCCAGGUGUGGCCUUAUAGCUGUGACCCUCGCUGAAUCUGCCAGUUAGCAUCUAGAGCUCAUCAUAGCCUGGACACAUUCCCAUUCAGUACGAGAGGAGAUUUCAGAGUCUGUGUUUCAAAAUUAACACUUCAACUGCUCCAAGACAGGAGCCAAUGCCAGUCUUCUCUGGACAUUCAUGAGAAGACAUGAAAAAUGGCCACACCCUGGCUCCAUCCUGAAUGCUGUCUCUGAGGCCAAGGCGCAAUCUGCAAGUGGCACGUGUUCCCGCGA
rnacentral:lncRNA from 1 species